rnacentral:rRNA from 1 species
ACGACUCUCGGCAACGGAUAUCUCGGCUCUCGCAUCGAUGAGAACGCAGCGAAAUGCGAUACUUGGUGUGAAUUGCAGAAUCCCGUGAACCAUCGAGUUUUUGAACGCAAGUUGCGCCCAAAGCCUUUCGGCUGAGGGCACGUCUGCCUGGGUGUCACGCAACAU